rnacentral:rRNA from 1 species
AUUGAACGCUGGCGGCAGGCUUAACACAUGCAAGUCGAGCGGAGAUGAGGUGCUUGCACCUUAUCUUAGCGGCGGGCGGGUGAGUAAUGCUUAGGAAUCUGCCAUUUAGUGGGGGACAACGUUUCGAAAGGAACGCUAAUACCGCAUACGUCCUACGGGAGAAAGCAGGGGACCUUCGGGCCUUACGCUAUCAGAUGAGCCUAGGUCGGAUUAGCUUGUUGGUGAGGUAAUGGCUCACCAAGGCGACGAUCCGUAACUGGUCUGAGAGGAUGAUCAGUCACACUGGAACUGAGACACGGUCCAGACUCCUACGGGAGGCAGCAGUGGGGAAUAUUGGACAAUGGGCAAAAGCCUGAUCCAGCCAUGUCGCGUGUGUGAAGAAGGUCUUCGGAUUGUAAAGCACUUUAAGUUGGGAGGAAGGGUUGUAGAUUAAUACUCUGCAAUUUUGACGUUACCGACAGAAUAAGCACCGGCUAACUCUGUGCCAGCAGCCGCAGUAAAAC